rnacentral:rRNA from 1 species
GAUGAACGCUAGCUGCAGGCUUAACACAUGCAAGUCGAGGGGAAACGAUAGAGAAAGCUUGCUUUUUCUAGGCGUCGACCGGCGCACGGGUGAGUAACGCGUAUCCAACCUGCCCAUCACUUGGGGAUAACCUUGCGAAAGUAAGACUAAUACCCAAUGAUAUCUCAAGAAGACAUCUGAAUGAGAUUAAAGAUUUAUCGGUGAUGGAUGGGGAUGCGUCUGAUUAGCUUGUUGGCGGGGUAACGGCCCACCAAGGCGACGAUCAGUAGGGGUUCUGAGAGGAAGGUCCCACACAUUGGAACCGAGACACGGGCCAAACUCCUACGGGAGGCAGCAGUGAGGAAUAUUGGUCAAUGGGCGAGAGCCUGAAACAGCCAAGUAGCGUGCAGGAUGACGGCCCUAUGGGUUGUAAACUGCUUUUAUAAGGGAAUAAAGUGAGCCUCGUGAGGCUUUUUGCAUGUACCUUAUGAAUAAGGACCGGCUAAUUCCGUGCCAGCAGCCGCCGUAA